rnacentral:rRNA from 1 species
AACGAACGCUGGCGGCAUGCCUAACACAUGCAAGUCGAACGAGACCUUCGGGUCUAGUGGCGCACGGGUGCGUAAUGCGUGGGAAUCUGCCCUUGGGUUCGGAAUAACAGUUAGAAAUGACUGCUAAUACCGGAUGAUGUCUUCGGACCAAAGAUUUAUCGCCCAGGGAUGAGCCCGCGUAGGAUUAGCUAGUUGGUGGGGUAAAGGCCUACCAAGGCGACGAUCCUUAGCUGGUCUGAGAGGAUGAUCAGCCACACUGGGACUGAGACACGGCCCAGACUCCUACGGGAGGCAGCAGUGGGGAAUAUUGGACAAUGGGCGAAAGCCUGAUCCAGCAAUGCCGCGUGAGUGAUGAAGGCCUUAGGGUUGUAAAGCUCUUUUACCCGGGAUGAUAAUGACAGUACCGGGAGAAUAAGCCCCGGGCUAAACUCCGUGCCAGCAGCCGCGGU